ACAUACACAUCCGCCCGGGUACUACGAGCACAGCUUAAAACCCAAAGGACUUGGCGGUGUCUCAGACCCACCUAGAGGAGCCUGUUCUAGAACCGAUAACCCCCGUUAAACCUCACCACUUCUUGUUUCCCCCGCCUAUAUACCGCCGUCGUCAGCUUACCCUGUGAAGGCCUAACAGUAAGCAAAAUGGGCCCACCCAAAAACGUCAGGUCGAGGUGUAGCGUACGAAGUGGAAAGAAAUGGGCUACAUUUUCUAUAAAUAGAAUACUACGAAUGAUGUCUUGAAACAAACAUCUGAAGGUGGAUUUAGUAGUAAAAAGCAAACAGAGAGUCCUUUUGAAUUAGGCUCUGAGACGCGCACACACCGCCCGUCACUCUCCCCCCUUACAUACCGACAUAAUUCAUAAUAAACCACACAAAACCCACGGGGAGGCAAGUCGUAACAUGGUAAGUGUACCGGAAGGUGCACUUGGAAUAAU
rnacentral:rRNA from 1 species